rnacentral:rRNA from 13 species
AAACUCAAAGGAAUUGACGGGGGCUCGUACACGCAGUGGAGUAUGCUCUUUAAUUCGACACAACGCGAAAAACCUUACCCGUCCUUGACAUACUUGCUUAUUAAAUAUAAAAUAUUUGAAAUAUACAAGUACAGGUGCUGCAUGGCUGUCGACAGUUCGUGUCGUGAGAUGUUUGGUUAAGUCCUCAAACGAGCGAAACCCUUCUUUUUUUAUAAAUAAAAGAAAAGACAAUCUGUGAUAAGCAGAAGGCAGAAGGAUGACGUCAAGUCUUCAUGGCCCUUAUGGACGGGGCUAGAAGCGUACUACAAUGAAAAUUACAAAAGGAGGCAAAGAUGCAAAUCUCAGCAAAUCCUAAAAAAUUUUCUAAGUUGGGAUUGGUCUCUGCAACUCGAGACCAUGAACCUGGAAUUGCGAGUAAUCGUAGAUCAGCAUGCUACGGUGAAACUGUACCCGAGCCUUGUACACACCGCCCGUCACAUUUUGGGAGCACUUUUUACUCCAGGCCUAGAUAAUUACACUUUUAGUAUAAAAAACGGGUGUUUCAUUUUCUAGAUCAGAAAAAAAAGCGCGACUGAAAUGAAGUCGUAACAAGGUAACCGUAGGGGAACCUGUGGUUGGAAUAAAGCCUU